GAUGAACGCUGGCGGCGUGCCUAAUACAUGCAAGUCGAGCGAACGGACGAGAAGCUUGCUUCUCUGAUGUUAGCGGCGGACGGGUGAGUAACACGUGGAUAACCUACCUAUAAGACUGGGAUAACUUCGGGAAACCGGAGCUAAUACCGGAUAAUAUUUUGAACCGCAUGGUUCAAAAGUGAAAGACGGUCUUGCUGUCACUUAUAGAUGGAUCCGCGCUGCAUUAGCUAGUUGGUAAGGUAACGGCUUGCCAAGGCAACGAUGCAUAGCCGACCUGAGAGGGUGAUCGGCCACACUGGAACUGAGACACGGUCCAGACUCCUACGGGAGGCAGCAGUAGGGAAUCUUCCGCAAAGGGCGAAAGCCUGACGGAGCAACGCCGCGUGAGUGAUGAAGGUCUUCGGAUCGUAAAACUCUGUUAUUAGGGAAGAACAUAUGUGUAAGUAACUGUGCACAUCUUGACGGUACCUAAUCAGAAAGCCACGGCUAACUACGUG
rnacentral:rRNA from 1 species